GGGUUGUGAGGUUAAGCGACUAAGCGUACACGGUGGAUGCCCUGGCAGUCAGAGGCGAUGAAGGACGUGCUAAUCUGCGAAAAGCGUCGGUAAGGUGAUAUGAACCGUUAUAACCGGCGAUGUCCGAAUGGGGAAACCCAGUGUGAUUCGUCACACUAUCGUUAACUGAAUACAUAGGUUAACGAGGCGAACCGGGGGAACUGAAACAUCUAAGUACCCCGAGGAAAAGAAAUCAACCGAGAUUCCCCCAGUAGCGGCGAGCGAACGGGGAGCAGCCCAGAGUCUGAAUCAGCUUGUGUGUUAGUGGAACGGUCUGGAAAGUCCGACGGUACAGGGUGAUAGUCCCGUACACCAAAAUGCACAGGUUGUGAACUCGAAGAGUAGGGCGGGACACGUGGUAUCCUGUCUGAAUAUGGGGGGACCAUCCUCCAAGGCUAAAUACUCCUGACUGACCGAUAGUGAACCAGUACCGUGAGGGAAAGGCGAAAAGAACCCCGGCGAGGGGAGUGAAAAAGAACCUGAAACCGUGUACGUACAAGCAGUGGGAGCACCUUCGGGUGUGACUGCGUACCUUUUGUAUAAUGGGUCAGCGACUUAUAUUCUGUAGCAAGGUUAACCGUAUAGGGGAGCCGCAGGGAAACCGAGUCUUAACUGGGCGUUAAGUUGCAGGGUAUAGACCCGAAACCCGGUGAUCUAGCCAUGGGCAGGUUGAAGGUUGGGUAACACUAACUGGAGGACCGAACCGACUAAUGUUGAAAAAUUAGCGGAUGACUUGUGGCUGGGGGUGAAAGGCCAAUCAAACCGGGAGAUAGCUGGUUCUCCCCGAAAGCUAUUUAGGUAGCGCCUCGUGAACUCAUCUUCGGGGGUAGAGCACUGUUUCGGCUAGGGGGUCAUCCCGACUUACCAACCCGAUGCAAACUACGAAUACCGAAGAAUGUUAUCACGGGAGACACACGGCGGGUGCUAACGUCCGUCGUGAAGAGGGAAACAACCCAGACCGCCAGCUAAGGUCCCAAAGUCAUGGUUAAGUGGGAAACGAUGUGGGAAGGCACAGACAGCCAGGAUGUUGGCUUAGAAGCAGCCAUCAUUUAAAGAAAGCGUAAUAGCUCACUGGUCGAGUCGGCCUGCGCGGAAGAUGUAACGGGGCUAAACCAUGCACCGAAGCUGCGGCAGCGACACUAUGUGUUGUUGGGUAGGGGAGCGUUCUGUAAGCCUGCGAAGGUGUGCUGUGAGGCAUGCUGGAGGUAUCAGAAGUGCGAAUGCUGACAUAAGUAACGAUAAAGCGGGUGAAAAGCCCGCUCGCCGGAAGACCAAGGGUUCCUGUCCAACGUUAAUCGGGGCAGGGUGAGUCGACCCCUAAGGCGAGGCCGAAAGGCGUAGUCGAUGGGAAACAGGUUAAUAUUCCUGUACUUGGUGUUACUGCGAAGGGGGGACGGAGAAGGCUAUGUUAGCCGGGCGACGGUUGUCCCGGUUUAAGCAUGUAGGCUGGUUGUCCAGGCAAAUCCGGAUAAUCAAGGCUGAGGUGUGAUGACGAGGCACUACGGUGCUGAAGUAACAAAUGCCCUGCUUCCAGGAAAAGCCUCUAAGCAUCAGGUAACAUCAAAUCGUACCCCAAACCGACACAGGUGGUCAGGUAGAGAAUACCAAGGCGCUUGAGAGAACUCGGGUGAAGGAACUAGGCAAAAUGGUGCCGUAACUUCGGGAGAAGGCACGCUGGUGUGUAGGUGAAGUCCCUGCGGAUGGAGCUGAGACCAGUCGAAGAUACCAGCUGGCUGCAACUGUUUAUUAAAAACACAGCACUGUGCAAACACGAAAGUGGACGUAUACGGUGUGACGCCUGCCCGGUGCCGGAAGGUUAAUUGAUGGGGUUAUCCGUAAGGAGAAGCUCUUGAUCGAAGCCCCGGUAAACGGCGGCCGUAACUAUAACGGUCCUAAGGUAGCGAAAUUCCUUGUCGGGUAAGUUCCGACCUGCACGAAUGGCGUAAUGAUGGCCAGGCUGUCUCCACCCGAGACUCAGUGAAAUUGAACUCGCUGUGAAGAUGCAGUGUACCCGCGGCAAGACGGAAAGACCCCGUGAACCUUUACUAUAGCUUGACACUGAACAUUGAGCCUUGAUGUGUAGGAUAGGUGGGAGGCUUUGAAGCGUGGACGCCAGUCUGCGUGGAGCCAACCUUGAAAUACCACCCUUUAAUGUUUGAUGUUCUAACGUUGGCCCCUGACCGGGGUUGCGGACAGUGUCUGGUGGGUAGUUUGACUGGGGCGGUCUCCUCCCAAAGCGUAACGGAGGAGCACGAAGGUUAGCUAAUCCUGGUCGGACAUCAGGAGGUUAGUGCAAUGGCAUAAGCUAGCUUGACUGCGAGCGUGACGGCGCGAGCAGGUGCGAAAGCAGGUCAUAGUGAUCCGGUGGUUCUGAAUGGAAGGGCCAUCGCUCAACGGAUAAAAGGUACUCCGGGGAUAACAGGCUGAUACCGCCCAAGAGUUCAUAUCGACGGCGGUGUUUGGCACCUCGAUGUCGGCUCAUCACAUCCUGGGGCUGAAGUAGGUCCCAAGGGUAUGGCUGUUCGCCAUUUAAAGUGGUACGCGAGCUGGGUUUAGAACGUCGUGAGACAGUUCGGUCCCUAUCUGCCGUGGGCGCUGGAGAAUUGAGGGGGGCUGCUCCUAGUACGAGAGGACCGGAGUGGACGCAUCACUGGUGUUCGGGUUGUCAUGCCAAUGGCACUGCCCGGUAGCUAAAUGCGGAAGAGAUAAGUGCUGAAAGCAUCUAAGCACGAAACUUGCCCCGAGAUGAGUUCUCCCUGAGACUUUAAGUCUCCUGAAGGAACGUUAAAGACGAUGACGUUGAUAGGCCGGGUGUGUAAGCGCAGCGAUGCGUUGAGCUAACCGGUACUAAUGAACCGUGAGGCUUAACCUUACAACGCCGAAG
rnacentral:rRNA from 1 species